CAUGCAAGAGUCGAUCGAAGAACAAUCAACAAAUCAGUAGCUUUCUGAUGCUGCAAGGAAGAGAAGUCCAAUCUUGAAAUCAAUCACUUCGAUCCUUUAGUCGGGCCUUGUAGACGUCUCCGGAUCCACCAGUACCGAUUAAUCUGUCAGCACCGAAGCCAUUGGUGGCCUCGAGUCGGUGGGCAAAAGUGGCAACAUCGAUGCUGAGAGGCUCGAGAACACCAGACGGGUUCCAACUAGUCAACGUAACUAGGUCUCGACUCCUCGGUCUUGUACGGGGCAAGCAACAGUAAGAAUACACUGAACACAGGCAACACAAUGCCGAUAAGAACGCUCCCACCUCGUUCCCCGAUUAAAACACACAUGUUAUCCAAUUGCUGGAGCUUCACAUCAUAUCACAUAUGAUUUACAUAAUUGAAAACAUUGUUGACGAUGAUGGUGAUAGAAUCCCUAUCACUCAUAUUCAUUCUAUGAUAAUUAAUUUAUAUGGGAAUAUUUUUAGACUGUAUGAUAUUUUGUGUGUAUCUUAUAUCAAAAUGAAUCUUAUUUUUAUCUCUUAAUUUUAUAAAUAAAAUAAUAUAUCUAUUGAGUUCUUUCUUGUCUCGUUUCUUAUAGAAGACAUGAGCACAAGACAUCUUUGGUCCGAGAUCAAAAUAAAAACAAUAUCUAUGAGUGACGGUGAACCUCACAAAUCACUCGGUCAAUCACUAUUUCUUCUAUUACUGCUCUAAUAGAUGUGUGAUAUUGUCGCUUUUGUUAUUCAUCAUUCUCUAUUCAACAAAAACUAAUUUCUUAUUACUUCUUUUCGACUUCUAAACCAAAUAAAACUGUUACUCAUUGUGAUUCUUAUGUUAGUAAUAAAAGUCACAAACUUACUGUUGAAACGUCUUCUAUAUACUGUUCCAAACCACUUGAAAUUAUUUAUACUAUUGUUUGGAGCCUUGCUCCAACUACUUCCUUUGAUGAUGAAUACCAAGCUUUAACAAUUUACCUCUGAUAGUGAGGUAUACAAUAUCUAAGUCACCACCGCACAUACCUCAACUAUUUGACUUUGCUGAACGAAAACAUCGACACAUAGUUGAAACUAAUCUCACCCUCCUAUACCAAGCCUCUAUAUCACUAAUCUUUUGGUCAAUAGCUUUUCAAACUAUCGUCUAUCUCAUUAAACCAUAUGUUCACCCAAAUCCUACAACACUGGUCACCAUUUGAAAGACUACUUCACAAAAUCUUCCCUAACUAUGUCUCUAUGUUUCACAUAAGUCAACAUCAAGAUCUAAGUCAUGCAUCUUUAUCAUCAGAUACUCUCUUGAAUAUAAUGUUUUUUGAUGAUUUGAUUCUUAAACUCAUAAGGUAUUCGUAUUACAUCAUGUUAUGAGUCAACAUUUCCCUUUUAAAAUCUUAAUCCUUUAGCAAUUCAAGCCAUUACAACAAUAAUCAAUCACUGAGUUCAUAUGAGUGCACCUCAAACCCUUCUCAAGUGCAUCUCUUACCAUAUCAACAAAUAGUUCUUCUAUAAACUUGUACUAUUUUAUUAUUCUAGUUCAGCAAUACUUUACCUCUUUUAUAACUUCUCAAUCAACCUCUCUAUCAAAGAAGCAACGCUCUUGGUACCACAAAUGAUAUCUUUGUUCUUUCAUAGACCAAGUGAUAUCGAAGUGCAUCAGUGUAAUUACGUAUAUGUCAUUAACUGUUCACAAAUUCUCAUAGCAUCAACAUAACCCAGUAAUACCAUCGAGCUUGAAUAUCACAUGAUAACACGUUCAAAAAAUAACAUAGUUUAACCAUGCUAAAUCAUUAAUUUUUAUGCUACCAUAAGCUCUCCAACUGACCAUACUAAACUCAUAAGUAUCACCCGAGCCCAAAAAUAUCUACACUUGCGUAAAGUUACGUGUGAAGAUUAUGAUGCUCUACUCCAUAAUAUCAUGUGGACUCUUAUAUCAUCUUAUCUCACACAAAAUAUCAUUAAAUGUAAAUGAAUCUUUUGAAUUAAGUGAAACCCAAAUAAAUCCAUUGUCAGAUAUAAAGCACCUAUAGUGGCCAAAAUGUUUCACCAACGACAAUGUGUUGAUUUUAUAGAGACCUUUAGUCUAGUUGUUAAAUCAAUAACAAUUCGACUCAUCCUUAGUUUAGCUAUCACUAAAGGCUAUCAUAUACGUCAACUAGAUAUUAAUAAUGCUUUAUUGCAAGAGACCUUAAUUGAAGAUGUUUUUAUACAUUAACCUUCUAGCUUCAUCCACCUAUAAUAUCCAAACCAUAUUUAUAAACUACAAAAAGCUAUUUUAGAUUUGGACAAGCUCAAAGAGCUUGAUAUAUAGAAUCUAGCUCGUUUUCUGUGUUAGUCAGUUUCAUCAACUCCAAAUCCCAUAGUUCUUUAUUCCUAUGACAACAAAAGAGAUGUACUAUAUAUCUAUUAGUCUGUAGAUGAUAUAAUGAUCACAGACAAUAAUUUCAUAGAGAUUAAAUAAUUCCUUAUGUAAUCGACAAAUUAAUUCUUCAUCAAAAUCUAAGAAUCUUAAACUAUUUUCUAAGAGUAAAAUAAAAUUUAUAUAUUUUAAAUUUUUCUAUCUAUAUUCGAGAUCUAUUAUCAAAAUACAAGUAUAUUGAAUGCAAAAUAAGUUGCAGUGAUCUGGGUCAAAGCACCCAUUCUGCAGUGAUCGGUAUGAGGUUUUGGGUGUCUAACAUCCUCAAUGGGUCUAAUGGGAAUGUGUGUGGCAGUAAUCGAGGUGUUUAUGGGCGAAAUAACCUCUUGGGUUCAGUGAAUAAUUGAUAGGACUUUUGUGUGUGUGUGUGUUGAAACUGGAGAUUUCUGUCAUCAAUCAUCAGCCCACCUGUGCUAGGUUUGAAGAAAGGAUCCCGUACGCACAUUUCAGAUGUAUCGUGAGUCAAACCGGUUGAAGAAGGUGAGGAAAGCUUGCACGAACACAUUGACGACUAAGGAGUCGAUAAGCCACCAUGAAUCUUACAAGGAGAAGUUGGACAUCAUGAGUCCCUCUCAGGGACAGAUGUGAUUUGAAUUAGGUGGGCUCAUGGUUGCAAGCAAGGAAGCGGAAAGCAACUGCUACACCAACACUCGCAGUUGAUUGGAGAUAAACCCCUCAUGAGUUGGAUGGAAUCAUGGACUCAAGAAAUUGGAUCAGAUUAAAGAAGUAAUUUGAUGCACUUUAUCGAUCGAUGGGAAAAUUCUUUCUGGAUCAGAAAAAUCCAGGAAGUUCUUAGUAGUUUUAUGAUCAUCAGAGGGAUUGAUUCAAAUGCUACUGUUCCUUUCCAUUAAUUUGGCUCACUUGUAGAGGGAUUUCUUCUACCAUCCAUGGCAGACUUUGACAUGUACAUGGAUUUAUGAACUGUCACAGAAGAAUCGAUUGAAGAACAAUCAACAAAUUAAUAGUUCUUGAUAGCAGAUAAGAUUUUCUAAAAAAAUUUUAUAUUCUGUUGAAAGAAAUCCUCUAUUCUGUUGAGUGAAAUCGAUUUAUGGACUUAUGAAUGAUCACAGAAGAAUCGAUUGAAGAACAAUCAACAAAUUAAUAGUUCUCGAUAGCAAAUAAGAUUUUUCCAAAAAAAAUUUUUAUUAUGUUAAUGCAUUCAAACUUCUUCAAUAAAACUUCUUCAAUAAUUCUUCUUAUCUUGUAUUCUUUCUAACAGUUCUCUAUGACUCUUUGCUUUCCUCCUAAUAAAUAUAUGUACAUACAUAUUAACUAAGCAUUAACAGUUCUCUUAUGCCUCUUUGUUUUCCUCCUAAUAAAUAUAUGCAUAUACAUAUUAACCAAGCAAAGAAGAUAAUGAAAUGAAGCAGAUCCAUCUCAUAUUUUCCACAAUGUAGUAGCAAUUUUAAGCUAUGACUAAUACAGAAACAACUUUUGAGUAAGAAAAAUAUGCACAUAUUUGAAUGACAAAUGAGCUGAAUGAACAGAAGUAGGUGCUCACAGAAAAAGUAACAGGUCCAUGGCAUUUGAUUGGAACAAAUUAAUCUGCUGCUAUGGAAAGACCUUUCCAUUGGGCAGUAGUAUGGAGGUAAUCAUAAUGCCACCUGCAGAUUUAAAUUCUUGUUUGACUAUCGGCACCAAUGUAAAGUCCAGAAAAAAAAUUGAGGUAUGAACAAAUAUUCAUUAAGAAUAAGAGCAGCUAAAUAGCAAUGGCAUCGGAUUGCACCCUUACAGACCGAAAAUGAGACAAGCCAUGAAGAAAUUAGUGUUCUGGCUUUUGAUCUGCAAAGUAUAUAAUUAUAAACUGACUGGAAAUCUAAAAAUGCCCAACUCAACUUCGACAAACCCAUGCUCCUUCAGCAUGCAUCAUCAGCGAGCAGACGUCUGCAGUUUGCUACGAUGGUGCAUGUAACAUCCUGAUGAUCAGAGGUCUUUCUGGAUCAACAAAAUCAUUUCAGGAGCUAAUGUGAGCUCGAGCCAUGACAAUUUUCUCAAUUAUAUGUCUUCGCAUGAAGCACUAAAACCAAGUGCAAUUGUUCAACCAUUCGGUGGAAGAGGCCUUGGAUUUAAUGCUGGAUAGUGUGACCUCUCCUGAGCAUCCGGAUCUUGGAAAAGAGAAUUCCAUCGGUCAAAUAUGAUGCGCCCUCCUCGACCAAUCCGACCACAGAAUCGGUAUGGUGAUACAACUGACUCAUUCUCUGCAGAUAAAACAGGUGGCACAAUGCCUGCAGCGGCAAGCUUGUCUGGAUCCAGAGAUUUUGUAAAUAACAUGACAGGUUCAUCUGGAUCCUGCAUUGAAAUGAAAUUCAAAACCAACAAACGUUGAACAUUUUGUUCCACAACUGUUCCGCAUAUCUUCUUCACAACAGAUAGUUUAUCAUCCAGACCAAAAAUUUGGAGCAAAUCAAUGGAGAUUGAAAUCUAACCCGUCCUUAAUGAAUGAGCAAAAAGACAAAAAAAAGGGGGCAAAAGCAAAUAUACCCUCUUUUGCGUCCACCCAUUUGACAAAGGUCUCCGUUUCAAUUCUCGUUUCAUUCGUACUGUUGGGACUGCAAUUAGCUUGAAAUCUGCAUACCUUGGAUGGAGAGUGGCAGGGACAGCAAUUGGAUCACCAUUAAUCGUGUCAUCUGAAUCAACAUAAUCCUCCUCACUUGAUGUAAAUUUGCAUGUAACAUGUCGGAAACUUGGGAUUGCAAUUCCAUCUUCAACGAGAUGAGCCUCAUGCUAUGAGUAUUACCAAGUCAACAAGGAUCCAAUCAAAUGCUAGAAUCAAAACAAAUCAUACAGAGCAGUGAAUGAACCGUAAUAUCCUGCAUGCCUUGGGAAGCCUAUCCCUUAUCAAAAGUUUCUACCAUCACAAAACUAAUAGCCUCUUUAAUUUAUCAGAGAAGGAUGUUACUUUUACAUUCAGAAAGACUACAGGAGAAAAUAAAAUUUAUCAAUACUGGUGCAAGACAGAGAAUAUGGAUAAGAGCCAAAGAACCCUCUCUAGCAACAUAAAAAGACCUAGUAUCAUAGGCAUCACCAAUAAUAUAUUUGUCAAUAUAACUUCUCUCCUUAACAAUCACUGGAUCCUUCACUAGGCCUUGAUCAGAAAAUAGUUAUUUAGAAAUCAAAUGUGUAGAAAUAAACCAUGUAUAAGAAAGAUUCAACCUUGACCUCUUAUUUAUUUCAAGACAUUUUUAUUUCUCCUUAUAAAAAACCCAGUCUCUCAAAUAAAAUGUGGUCAUAUCACCAUAAAUAUUGCAAUAUCAAAUCAAAACUUUAAAUCAGAACAUACUUUUGCAUCGUAAGUAGAUAGAUCUAUAUGGAAAUUCAUGAAUAAAAUACAAAUAACAAAUAGAAUAACACUGAGAACAAUGUCUGCAAAUCAGAAACAACUAUUUACAUUGUUCUCCUAUGAGUCAAUCUUGCCAUUUAUCAUGAUUCAAAGCCUUUCUAGGUUCAGGGCAAAAAAAAUGUUAGCAGUAAAAAUUGCAAAAUUUACAACGAUAACAGAAAUUGAUAAUCGAUUAUAACCUUGUGUGCCUAUAUAAUACAGAAAGAAGAAUACAAUAUUUGGAAUUACCUUAUACUUCAUCUGAAUUCUCUGGAUUUUGACCUCGCACUCAACAAUAUCCCGCUUCUUCUCUUCCCUCUGCGAUACAUGUAAUUAAUAUGGACUUUUCUGAUUAUGUAACAGACCUUGUAAGAAGAUCUAAUUUCCAUUUAGGAUAGAGCUUUGUAAAAGAAACCUGAAUCAAAGAAUCAAGCAUUCUCUUUGCCUGGUCCAAGUUACGCCUGACCUGAAGUACAGUAAGUAAAGGAUGACAAGAAAUCCUGAUGCCAUAGUAAACAUAUAUAAUAAACACAACCAAUUUCUACAAUAUUGUUAAAAGAAUGAAUAGAAGAGGCAUAAUAGGCCAUAUCAUUCACUGGUUUAUAUGAGUUUUUACACCUCAAUCAUCCAUUUUUCUACUCAGAUGUAUUGAGAGUCCAGUUUUUUCAUCAUAAUCUACAUAUAUACAUGUUGACAAUUGACAUAUAUCACCACUACUAAGUAACAACUUUUAAAAUACUAGAUAUAAUCUAUAACCAAUUAAAAACAGUAUUAAUAAAAGUAAACAACAUCCCACUCUUAAAUAUGACAAGAAAUCCACGAUCUCUUCCACAUAAUUAUCAAAAUAUCAAUACUGAUAUGUGAGAUUAUAGAAAAAAAAUAUCCUCCUUCACAGCAUAUAUAUUAUGUUUUUUAAAUUAGAGGCUAAUGGCAUCAACAGUAGUGUGAGUUCAACAAGUUUCAUUUUUUUGAAAAGUUUAUCUCUUUAGGUCCCUCCAAAGUCGAUUCCUUGGAACAUCUUUUCUGGUACAACCUUUUCUCGACAGAAUUUCAAUCUAAAAAUUACUUGUUAUGAUUAACUGUAGCUUUAGUACUAAUUAUGAGAUUUGCAUAAUACGAAGAGCAGAGUUAUGCUCUUCGGAAAAGGAUAAAGAGGCCAACAGAUACAUAAAUUUUUCCUUUAGAAAGGAAAAGAGAUCAGACAAUUGGAUUUUAACUCCUUGUUCAAUAAUUCUCCAUCCUUCAUUUCUAUUCCUCUCCCAGCUAUCUUCCCUCCUCAUGUUCUUUACAGAUAUUUCGUUAUUCAUUUUAAAAUCAGCACUGCUGUCCACUCAAGCAAAUUAAUAAAAAAUGAUUAACAAUUGUUUCAGUAUUAGUGAAUGGAGUUCAUAUCAAUUGCAGAUUUGCUUCAUCUUAGUUGUUCUAUAAAAAUUUUCACGUUAAGUGCCCCUUAAAUCACUAUACUGUGCCCCUUGCCUUGCACCUUGUACCAUGGCUGCAAGCAACCUUGGUGCUUCAGUGAACCUCAGCCUUCAACAAUUCUGACCAGUUGAUACAUACCAUUUUAAACAGUGCCUUAUACCAUAUACUAUGUUACAAGCGAUAAAGCAAUGAAAUUUACCUGUCGAAGUUUUUCAAAUGACUGAACACUGUUUUCCCUCCUUUGCAUCUGGAAAAAGAAAAUAGUCAUCAAAUAUCCAGCAUAUAGACCAAGAAGCACUACAUUUCUUUCAGCAAAUCUUUCUAUUUAAUUAUACAAAGCUUUUUCCUUUGUGUCAACAACUAAUUUAUAUAUACAAUUGACUCCACGGCACCUACCCUUCUUGUGUGAAGACGGUGUGCCUUUUCUCUCGGUCUGAAUACAUUAUAGGGAUUUGUAUCAUUAACUGGUGGAGGCGGCUGCAUAAGCACAAAAUAUAUUAGAUAUGAUCAAAUCAUCUACUGCUUUUAUGAAAAUAUACAACUUUAUGGAGUACGAUGCUAGAAGAACAGAUUAGCCAGUCAAACAUAUAAUUGCAGGCCAUAGCCUAGGACAGCUCAAACUAAGAUCAUUGCCACUUUUAGGCAAUUGUUUUUUUACUUUUUAUAUGCACCACCAAACCCAAGAGAUAAUGUUCCAUCCAGUGACCAAAUUAAUAGCAAAAGAAAUUUUCAUUAUAAUAACUAACAGAAGUUCAUAGAUAGGUGAGAGUUCUAUGAUGGAGCUGAUAAGAAUCAUUAAAGAAGCCAUUCAAGCACAACAUUCUCCAUUUUUUUGUGCUGGUUAGAACAAAUUGCAAGAAAGUCUGUUUCACCACAACUUGAACCUAAUCUAUGGACCGUUACCUCUCUAAGAAGUCAUGCCACCACAAAACAACUACCUAGAAAAAGAUAUCUAAAUAGAACAAAUCUUCACAAUAAAAUCAAUUGGUGCCAUAAAACUAAAUGCCCAGUGAAGGAACACAGACACCCCCGAAACAAACAUGAAACAAUAUAAGGUCACACACCACUCUAAUAAAAGAAUGGCACUGUAAACCCAAAUUAUAAAGUGGGAUGAGUAUCACAAGUUUCUUUACCUCUCCCGGCCUCUCCUCCCUUCACUUUGCACGGUAUCCCAAAUUCCUAAUGCCACUCGCAGCUAAGGUAACUCAUGAUAAUAAUGUGACCAAUGACGUUUACGAAAAAAGCAGCGAAGACUGUUGCAUCCGACAAGGCAGACAUAGCAAGUGCAUCUUUUGACAUCAAUCCAGCAACUUGGUUUUUAUUUUGUUGUCCCCUUAUCGCAAAUGGGUUGAAUCUAGUUAAAGUAUAUUUCAUUCGUUUACUUUUCUCCCAAAUGGUUUUUAUUUUUCAUUCUUUUUCUCUAUCAUUUAGUAUCAGCAGGGCUCCACACAUGGCACAUACCAUUCUGUUGAAAAAUAUUGUUACUCAAAAUAAUUAGUCAAGUUUCCUUUACUCUGAGCAUAUAUGUAUCUCAACAAGCAUAGGAUAACAUUCUCUACUUUAUUUUAUCUUUUUAUGACAAUCUUAUUUGGUAGCAUUUUUUUUUUUCACAAACUUUUGAUUUGUAAUCCUUUUCUUCUUCUUUUUUUGCAAAGGAUAGGUAGCGAAGGCAAGAUUCAAGCCCAGGAUCUUGUGAUAUCCAUUCUUAAUUUUUCGAUUAUAGAACUAGAUUAUCUACAUGAACUUCAAUUCUUCAUUAAACUAUAACUUCAAACAUUCCCCAUUGGGAAAAUCUAAAAUUUGCAAAAAUAUUGUGGACAUAUUGUUCAUGAGGUAUGGGGUACCUUGAUUUACUUGCACAGGUCAGCCACUUUUUAGAACAUUGACCGUAAUGAAUAAACACAAAAGCAGAAUGGUAGGUUCAAUUCUCCACCAUAUACUGGCUCAGCAAAAUGAGAAGAAAAUGAUAAAUUUAAGUUUUUCAUCAUCAAAAGAGUAAUACUCAAAGGUAAGUAUCCCCAUGUAUCUGAAAAAUCCAAUUUCUACAAUUGCUAUAAAUUUGGAUAUUUAUAUAAAGCAUCAAAACUUAUCAAGGAAUCAUCCAUUAUCCCCUAGAAAGCAGUUUAACGAAUGAAAGUUCUAUAUACUACUUUAAGAUUCGGUUAUCUUGAUACAUCUUUCAAUAAUUUUUUGAUUUUAAUUAUCUUUGAGCGACUUCUUACUGGGACUGAACCAACAUAAUUUAUUUCAACAAUCAUGUUUAAAAUGUUUGUUAAUAUUAUAAAUGAAUAAACUUUGUAAAGGUUCCUUUCAACCAAAAGAGACUUGUUCUAAUUGUCACCAAUGGAUUAAAAUACCAUAGAUGGAAGAUCUAGUGCACAAGGCUCCUGCCAAUAAUGUACACAACCUUUAACCCUAUAGAUAGAUGGGCUGUAAUAGUAAGGACUGGGAUACUGUAUGGAGUCACAGUGGCAAGUUAUAUAAAACUAAUACAAGCAAAAUCACAUAUAGUAUAACAGAACAUCAGACAGAAUUACAGAUUUGGCAGAAAAAAUGUCAUUAUUCUUCAUCUAAGACUACUGCUACCAGUGCUAUCUUCAUCUUGGACUCUUUCACCAAUCUUAAAGGAGUUAUUAUCAUAUGGCUUGCUUUAGUUAAUUUAUACAAAAUCAGUGUAGCAAGCAAAGGAACGAGAUUCACCUUAGAAAACAUAACGAACACCAACAUUCUAAGAAAAAAAAGUAAAAGGGGCCAACCUGCAGGCGUCGCAAGAUAGGUUUUUGCCACUGUUCUCUCUGAUAAAUGACAAAUAAAUCAUAAGUAAGAAUCAAUGGAGUCAAAAUAUAAAUUUGAUUGAAUCUAUAAAUCAACUCCAGAGAUAAAACCUCAGAUUCAUAUAUUUUGAACAAUGAAAAAAUAAAAUGGUGGUCACUCUCUGUUUCUCUCACCACAUAAAACAUACCUUUAAUUUCCAAUAGUUAUAUACAGAUUGGAAAACUGGAUAUCGUACACAUAGGGGUUGCAAAGCCUGCAAAAAUUGAGCAAAUUGUUGGCAAUGUUAAAGAGUUUUGUUAUUAGCUACCAGGCAAAAUUCCAUUCUUGUUAAGCUCCAUUACAUCUUAAAAAAUCACAGCACAUAAGCUAGCUGCCAGUGAAAGGUUGUGCAAUCAGCAUCUUUAAAAAAAAAAUCAUGUAUGAGAAAUGUGUCACCAACAUUUCUCAUACAUAGCCCAGUUCUUAUCAACAUCAGAAAAUAUUUUUACGUGAACCAUUUGUUUAAGCACAACUACUGUAAAUCAUAUAUCUCACUUAGGAGAAUGAAUUUUUGUCCUUAACUAUCAUGCUAGAUAUAAUGCUUUGCUUAGACAGUAAACAAAUGCUAAGAAAUAAUAGAUCUGGACAUGAGAGGAACUAGACUCAAUAUGAAUAAUAAAAAACAAACUCCAGAAAUAUAGUCAUUAACCUCUUCUGCUGCAUCAAAUUGUAAAAGAACAGGAAUAGGUGAUCCAAAAGUAGGUGUUAUGACUCCUGCUCGUUCUCGAGCUUUAUGAUCCAUAACCUCCAGCUUGAACAAAAUGGUCUCAAACCUGGGUUAAAAUAAGCUUAAGUUCAUAAAAGUAAUCACCGAAAAGAAAGAACAUAUUAAACUAGAAGCAUAAUUUGCAGCAUGUUCUCUGUACAGUUCCAGAAUGAAUCUUGCGUGCCUCAAAUCAACCUGUGACAUACUGGAUGGUCCCAUGGAAAACACACUUAGUCUAUGGUUGCAACUCAUUUGGAGCAUCCUCUUUUUCCACAACCUCCUUUCAUAAUGGUACAGCUAAUGAGACACUACAUUUGUAGGAACCUCAUGCACUAGAGCUCCCAUUUAAUACCUACAUGUGGCUCUGGCUACAGGGUCAUAAACAUGAGGAAGGACUUCUCUAUUGAAUCUCUGCCGCAUUGCAGGCAGGCUACUGGCUUAGGUUAUUUUUCUUGCUAAACAUGGUGGUUGAACUUGAACCUUCCCCGAUCUCCAUAGCCUCAGUCAGAAGAAUCAGAGGACUCAUUACUGCUGUGAUGAAAUAGCAUUACCAUGAAAUGAUAGCAUUAUUUUCUGAAAACUGAUUUAGCAAAGGCUAACUGUAUUAAGAUGAGAUUCGAAGAGCCCAUGCAGAUUCCUCUGAUAGGCAUACAAAACUUGAAGAUUCUGUGCAUUGAAAAAACUUCAGUAAAAGAAAACGGCUUUUCUCUUUGAUUGAAUGUUUUUUGACAUAGAGGAGGAGAAUAAAUGAAUCAUCAAGAUAACGAAUAACAGUAACAGGUGAAUCUUGUUAGUACCAAAGUGUUAAAUUAUAUUCUUCAUUUUUCUUCUAAGUCUUCCAGUGCAGGGCAAUCAACUUAUAGAAGAGGUCAGAAAGCAUCUGCUUUACUGAUUCUCUCCAUGCAGCAGCUUGUUUGUCCAAAAGAAAAACGGGCAGCUCUCCUGGUCUUUUCCAAUGUAAACUUACAUUAAAGCAUUGAUAAUAUUACAAAAACCAAAAAAUAAUUGAAUCAUCACGACUGUAAUCAUUUGUUCAUUAAAUCACAACUGUAAUCAUUAGUUCAUUACCAUUACAGCUAUGGAAUAAUUCAUCCUCUUCUUUAUGUGGGUAAAAUAUUUUUUUUUAUUUGAUCAAUCUACUACCAAGAACGACUAUCAUUCUUAUCAUCUUUAAUCCUCCCAACCCACCCUGUUUUUUCAUUAAGAAAGUCUUAAGAGUAAAUAAUGCAUAAUAACAAUUCACUGUUUCAAUAAUGUAUUUCUAGCAUUCCAGGGGGACAAUGAAGGUCCAAAUUUUACAGAUCAUGAAGCAAAAUAGCAUUGAAGAAUACAAUAAGCAUAGUGGUCACCAAGUCUAUACUAUGACUAUUACUUUUCAGGUGUAAGAGUCUUCCCUUCAUAGUUGAACUCUUCAAGCCAACCAUCAUCCUCAUUAUCCAGGUCAUAUUCAACAAAUUCACCAAUCUCAGCCCGAGCUACAAGAUGUUAACAAUGAAAAAGAUAUCAAAACAUGCAAUGUAAAUAGGAAUUCUUUCUUCGUAGUAAUAUCUUGCAAAAUUCAAUAAAAACCUCCUCUUCCACGUAUAUAUGAUGCAGUUGGUGUGAAGGUAGGGGUAUAAUCUCUUUCAUAUGUGUCCACAACACUGAACUGCGGAGUAGGAAUUUCUUGAGAACUUGCCUUGCUUGGAGUUUGAUGCACCUAAAAAGAAUAACAUAAUUCUGUCAGUCACUUUGUCAUAUUAGUUGAUCUAACUUCAUAAGAUGGUUCACAGUUCAAAAUAAGUACUACCAACUAGACUGCUGCCUGAUGGUAAAAAGAGCAAGCACUGGACAUUUAGCACUUCUGCAAACAUUUUGCAUUUUAGGCAUUACAAGGUGGUCAAGGGUGACAUCCACCUGAAGGUCCAAAAGAUUGGCUAAAAGAACAUACGUAGGCACAGAAAUACAAAGACAGAACAUCCUCCUUCGGCACCUCCUAUGGAAUACCGAAAGACACUGAAUAAGGUGAAAAAUCUGAAGCUACGAGAAUGACAAAAAGUGAUAACAAAUGAAUAACUAAGUUUGUCAUAUUAGCAAACAAAUAACUAAAGAAAAUUAGUGGUCGAGAGCAUGAAGCUUCAGCUAAUACGGGAUUUGGAAAGGGUCAAAUAUACAUAGUCCUCAUGCAACACUCAGAAUACUUGAGUGUGAGAUUCUAACUGCACAACCUGUUCAGAGUACCAUAGGAGAAGAAAAAUCCAUGCACCAUAAAUAAUUGCGAUAAAUUCAAGUUCAACCUGCUAUAACGAUAUUGGUGUUACCUCAUUCUCAGUUGCAAUUCGGAGCAGGUGUGAGUUGCGGGUUGAAGCGGCUGUGGCAGGCGCCUCGUCAUCAUCAAAUUCUUUAACGGAUUUGACAAUGGGGAGCUUCUUGUGAAUGUCAAGGGGCCGAGGCCUGAAUGAAAGCCUACUCAUGUCCACUUCAUCUCUCUUUCACUUCCAACUUUGUUUCCCAGCUCAAACUGCCGCUGCUGCUACCCCGACCUCGCGCACAGCAGCACCAACGACCGGUGUUCCCGUUACGUUCUCAAAACCAGCCACAAAGAUUCUGUUAAAAUCAUCAAGAAGUUCACGAAUUGUCUUUGCGAGCACUAGAACUCGCCAUUCACAACACAGUCGCAGCAGAGCAGAGUCCAGCAGCUCAGAGAGGUGUUCAAAACGAACAAACCCUAGAAUUCCUCACGUCGGAAACUUCAUGCACAGCACCAGAGGAUCUAUGAAGCGGGCGUUUAAGUUGCGAGCUUACUCCUACUUGCAGAUACCCCAGUUCCGACCAAAGAUUGGGGACACGCCUCCAAAGCGCCUCCUUGUCGAGAAACCUCAACUCCUGGCGUCGGAACAGGGCCUCCAGAGCCGGAGGAGCCGAUUGGGAGGAAGCAAUUCAGGUGGAAGUAGCUACUCUGAUCGAGGGAUUUAGGGCACCGUAUCAAGCAGACCCAUUCGCGACCGCGACAACGAAGAAUCGAGGAUUUGAAGUAUCCCGGUGCGCAUGAGAGGGGCGACAGCGGUGCAAUUGCUAGAGUUGUACGGUUUCUAGGGUUCGAAGGGAGGAGCAAGAGAGACAGAUGCAAGAGGGCGAGCGAGGUCGAUAACUCCCAAUUAUUAUUAUUAUUAUUAUUAUUAUUAUUAUUUAUUUUCUUUAUUAAAUUGUCUCGCUGCUCGAUUUUCUCGAGUGAACUCAGUGAGUUCCGAUGACUCCGAACUGCUAUAUUUACCUCUAUUUGACACAAUAAAACGUUCAGGUGAGAUAUCGGCUCGCAUAUAAGCCACUGCUUUUAGAAUGACCCCCGUCAUAACAAUUAGUAACUGAAACCAUGGCCGUUGCAAGAGACGAGAUAUCUCAAGUGACAUAAUAAAACACCUGCUAUAAUUAUCUCUAUUUGACAUAAUAAAAACAUUCGGGUGAGAUAUAUCAUCUCAUGUGCCCAUCGAGCUGUCUUUAAUAACAAUAAUAAUAAAUUAUUUUUCCUUUUUCACCUGUUUUUAAAGCAAAAAAAUGGAUGAGCAAUACACGGUGAUUACCCUGCAAAGGCAACUACAUGAAAUAAUACUGAACUGCUGCGACGAUAUGUACAUGAUAAGCUGUCUUUCAUCAUUUCUUGGGUUAAAACUUAUCGUGAAAAUUAUUUUGCUGCAUUAUCACGGUGUAAGGGAAGCUAUGAUUUCUUUUACAUGGCUAAUACACUUAAUGAGGGAAAGUCGGUUGAAUUCCUGCUUGGCGACUGUGAGCAUGAUGCUCGUGAAGAAGAACGAUUAGGUUCUCGAGAUCCCCCGGCGAAUUAACGAUAUGGAAUCUAUGCACGGUCUUGGAAUCUUCCUCUUGAAGGAGUCCGCAUCGAUUCAUCUGAUUUGCAACCAUAAGAACACAGCUAUCAGUGCAAAAGAUUAGACAAAAGGUAACAACGCACAGAAACAGGCAACAAAACAGAUAAUAUUUCAAAAAUCUGCAGCAUUUUCAGACACCAGAUACAGAAAAGUGGAAUGUAUGAGCUUACCAAUGAUUACAGAAGAUGCCCUACCUCUAUUUCCAUCAAAUAUUCAUUAGGAUAAUUUGUAUGAACUUUUAGCUUACAUAUGAAGAGUGUACACCUACAUGCAUCAAAUUAUGUAUCGUAAAAUAUCGAGAAGCAAAUUAUUGUACCAUCUCUAACAGCUAAAUCAUGGAUUCAAGCUCCUAUACCAGUCUUAGCACACAAUACAAGAGAUCCCACAUCUAAUCCUUAUGCAAGAAAAAAAAAUCAAGUUAAUAAGUAUAGCUGUCUUUGGCUCUUUACUAGUGCUGUUGGUAGGAAAAAAUAAUGACCAACACUCAGUACAGGAACAAAUCAAGUUAUAAAAAGAGAACAGUAUGUCUGCUGGUGCUGUUGGAGAUACAACAGUUAUUUCAGUAUAAGUUGCAGAGAGGGACACAGUUAAAGAAUUAUCAAAGCAUCGCAUGCCUCAGUGACAUGUUCUUUUGAAUUAGCAAUUUAGCAUAUUAUCACUAACAUACAAUUGCUUGAUAAAAAUGCAAACAUAUACGGAAAAGAAAAUAAAGAAAUCCAAUGAGGUUUAACUGACAUGAUGCUAGUAUGGGCCAUUUGAUGGAACAUAUAGCAUCUAAAUGGAACUCAAUUUAUUCUGACCAUAUUUCCAGAACUCAAUUGUCAUAGUCAAUGAUCUUUUGAUAUUAGGCAAGCUUUUGUUCUGGUGUCAAUCCUUCUUUGGAGGCAAUCUAGAUGAGGAAAUAGUGGGAACUGGUGUCUCAGAAAAAGACAAACUAAGACUGUUAAAAAAAAUUUCAAAUAAUC
rnacentral:lncRNA from 1 species